UGGGAGGAAAAGAAACCAACAGGGAUUGCCUCAGUAACGGCGAGUGAAGCGGCAACAGCUCAAAUUUGAAAUCUGGCUCUUUCAGGGUCCGAGUUGUAAUUUGUAGAAGAUGCUUCGGGUGUGGCUCCGGUCUAAGUUCCUUGGAACAGGACGUCAUAGAGGGUGAGAAUCCCGUAUGUGACUGGCUGCCUUCGCCUAUGUGAAGCUCUUUCGACGAGUCGAGUUGUUUGGGAAUGCAGCUCAAAAUGGGUGGUAAAUUUCAUCUAAAGCUAAAUAUUGGCCAGAGACCGAUAGCGCACAAGUAGAGUGAUCGAAAGAUGAAAAGCACUUUGGAAAGAGAGUUAAACAGUACGUGAAAUUGUUGAAAGGGAAGCGCUUGCAACCAGACUUGCACUUGGUCGAUCAUCCGAGGUUCUCCCCGGUGCACUCGACCUCGUUCAGGCCAGCAUCGGUUCAGGUGGUGGGAUAAAGGCCUUGGGAAUGUAGCUUCUUUCGGGGAGUGUUAUAGCCCUCGGUGCAAUGCCGCCUAUCUGGACCGAGGACCGCGCUCGGCUAGAUGCUGCGUACCAU
rnacentral:rRNA from 1 species